UAAAGUCGUAACAAGGUUUCCGGUAGUGAACCUGCGGAAGGAUCAUUAUUAUAACAAUGGAGGUGUAAAGGGUUGUUGUUGCUGACCCUUGAAAGGUUGUGCACACACCCUGAGCACUUUUACACAUCCAUUUCACCCUUUUGUGCAUCACCGCGUGAGUUUCUCUAAAAAGGAGGCUUGCGUUUUUCACAUUAAACAGAGUACAGAAUGUAUGUAUCUUUGGUGAUAUUAAUAUAACUUUCAACAACGGAUCUCUUGGCUCUCGCAUCGAUGAAGAACGCAGCGAAAUGCGAUAUGUAAUGUGAAUUGCAGAAUUCAGUGAAUCAUUGAAUCUUUGAACGCACCUUGCGCCCCUUGGCAUUCCGAGGGGCACACCCGUUUGAGUGUCAUUGAAAUUUUAUCAAAAUCCCUUUAUUAAAAUAAAAAGGAUUUUGGAGUUGGAGGAAUUAAUGCUUGCUUGUAAAGCUCCUCUUAAAUAAAUUAGUGGGGGGUUUGCUCUACUGCUCAUCCUAAACAUAAUAAAAUAUUUCUAUGUUUUGUGUUGAGCUGAACACCUGCUUAUAACUGUCUUAAUGUGUGGACAAUAAUAAAUUUUGACCUCAAAUCGGGUGAGACUACCCGCUGAACUUAAGCAUAUCAAUAAGCGGAGGAAAAGAAACUAACAAGGAUUCCCCUAGUAACUGCGAGUGAAGCGGGAAAAGCUCAAAUUUAAAAUCUGGUGGUUCUUUUUGUUUAGCCAUCCGAGUUGUAAUUUAAAAAAGUGUUUUCC
rnacentral:rRNA from 1 species